rnacentral:rRNA from 1 species
ACCAACAGGGAUUGCCCCAGUAACGGCGAGUGAAGCGGCAACAGCUCAAAUUUGAAAUCUGGCCCUCGGGUCCGAGUUGUAAUUUGUAGAGGAUGCUUUUGGCGAGGUGCCUUCCGAGUUCCCUGGAACGGGACGCCAUAGAGGGUGAGAGCCCCGUCUGGUCGGACACCGAGCCUCUGUAAAGCUCCUUCGACGAGUCGAGUAGUUUGGGAAUGCUGCUCAAAAUGGGAGGUAUAUGUCUUCUAAAGCUAAAUAUUGGCCAGAGACCGAUAGCGCACAAGUAGAGUGAUCGAAAGAUGAAAAGCACUUUGAAAAGAGGGUUAAAAAGUACGUGAAAUUGUUGAAAGGGAAGCGCCUAUGACCAGACUUGAGCCCGGUGAAUCAUCCAGCGUUCUCGCUGGUGCACUUUGCCGGGCCCAGGCCAGCAUCAGUUUGGCGCGGGGGAUAAAGGUGACGGGAAUGUGGCUCCCUCGGGAGUGUUAUAGCCCGCUACGUAAUACCCUGCGCCGGACUGAGGUACGCGCAUUGCAAGGAUGCUGGCGUAAUGGUCAUCAGCGACCCGUCUUGAAACACGGACCAAGGAGUCGUCUUCGUAUGCGAGUGUUCGGGUGUCAAACCCCUACGCGUAAUGAAAGUGAACGCAGGUGAGAGCUUCGGCGCAUCAUCGACCGAUCCUGAUGUUCUCGGAUGGAUUUGAGUAAGAGCAUACGGGGCCGGACCCGAAAGAAGGUGAACUAUGCCUGUAUAGGGUGAAGCCAGAGGAAACUCUGGUGGAGGCUCGCAGCGGUUCUGACGUGCGAAUCGAUCGUCAAAUAUGGGCAUGGGGGCGAAAGACUAAUCGAACCUUCUAGUAGCUGGUUUCCGC